rnacentral:rRNA from 1 species
GAUGAACGCUGGCGGCGUGCCUAAUACAUGCAAGUCGAGCGAACAGACGAGGAGCUUGCUCCUCUGACGUUAGCGGCGGACGGGUGAGUAACACGUGGAUAACCUACCUAUAAGACUGGGAUAACUUCGGGAAACCGGAGCUAAUACCGGAUAAUAUAUUGAACCGCAUGGUUCAAUAGUGAAAGACGGUUUUGCUGUCACUUAUAGAUGGAUCCGCGCCGCAUUAGCUAGUUGGUAAGGUAACGGCUUACCAAGGCAACGAUGCGUAGCCGACCUGAGAGGGUGAUCGGCCGCACUGGAGCUGAGACACGGUCCAGACUCCUACGGGAGGCAGCAGUAGGGAAUCUUCCGCAAUGGGCGAAAGCCUGACGGAGCAACGCCGCGUGAGUGAUGAAGGUCUUCGGAUCGUAAAACUCUGUUAUUAGGGAAGAACAAAUGUGUAAGUAACUAUGCACGUCUUGACGGUACCUAAUCAGAAAGCCACGGCUAACUACGUG